GGUGGGUAUGCUCAGUGGUAGAGUGCAUGCUUAGCAUGCAUGAGGUCCUGGGUUCAAUCCCCAGAACCUCCU
rfam:Camelus ferus unplaced genomic scaffold scaffold2149, whole genome shotgun sequence.